GAUGAAGAACGUAGUGAAAUGCGAUAAGUAAUGCGAAUUGCAGAAUUUCCGUGAGUCAUCGAAUCUUUGAACGCACAUUGCGCCCGCUAGUAUUCUAGCGGGCAUGCCUGUUCGAGCGUCAUUUCAACCAUCAAGCCCCAGGCUUGUGUUGGAGCCCUGCGGCCGUCCGCAGCCUCCUAAAAUCAGUGGCGGGCUCGCUAUCACACCGAGUGCAGUAGUUUACUCUUCGCUCAGGACGUGUAGCGGGUUCCGGCCGUGAAACCCCCCAAUUUUCAAGGUUGACCUCGGAUCAGGUAGGAAUACCCGCUGAACUUAAGCAUAUCAAUAAGCGGAGGA
rnacentral:misc_RNA from 1 species